AGUCUAUCAUGUGGACAUAGUCUCGCCAUAUCUUUGUAUCUUUCCCAUGCUUCGAAAAGUCAUUCUCCAUCCUUCUGUCUAAAUUUGUUAAUUUGGCUUCUUAGCAU